rnacentral:tRNA from 1 species
GGUCCCAUCGUCUAGUGGUCCAGGACGCUGGCCUCUCACGCCGGUAACGCGGGUUCGAACCCCGCUGGGAUCA